rnacentral:lncRNA from 1 species
UGAUUUGUUUCAAUAAUAAUUAUAUUAAAAUUAGGAUUUUAACCGGAGUGUCAUAUCAUUAUAACAGUUUUUAUGAUAACAACACGUUAUAUUCCUUGGAUACUUUCUCGCGUGGUUGUAUCGAAUCGGGACCACACAUAGGAGCAGAAGAUAAAUAAACAAACUCAUAAACUAUACGGCUUGUAAUUAAAGUCAUGAUAGUAACAACACAGCUGCAUCAUCCAUCAAUUUUAACGGUCAUCCAGACAGUCUGCUAAGGUUCAUAAAAACAAUUAAGAUAAAAUUAUUUAACAACCUUAUCCCUAACAAAUUAAAACACAGCUGCAUAUUACAUUAAUUUUAACGGUCAUUCAGACAGUCUGAUAGAGUUCAUGAAAACAACUAAGAGAAAUUUAUUUAACAAUCCUUAUCAUAGCAAAUUAGGUGGGCAAUUAAAUACUGGCAACAGAACUGCGUAUAUUUACAGAGCUUAAAUCUUCUUCUUGCGUUUUGUUAUAAGUGUAACAUUAUACAUGUAGACUUUUUCACCAAGAAUCAUUGUAAUUAGAAUUCACAUAUUUAUUAGUUAAUAGUGCAUAUGACACAUAUAUAGAAUAUCAUUAAUUUUUUAUUUUAUUUUUUCCUAAAUUUUGUAUUUGGAUACAUUGUGUACUUUAAACAGGUGUUAUGGCACCUACAUGAAUUUAUAAGGCUCUUUUGAUGAGCCACUGAGAUAAAUAGUGUACUUGGAUACAUUUAUGUACUUAACACAAGCGCAUCUGAAUCUAUGAGGCUCUAGUACAUAUGGUGCUUUGAUGAGCAAUGCCCAUAUGGCAUUUAUAUAGUUUUAUUGUGCUUGAGUACAUAUUUGUAUGCAUGAUGGGUGCCUAUAACAUUUAGAUGAAUUCUAUGAGGCUCUAGUACCCAUAUGGUGCGUUGAGGAGCAUGCCCAUAUGGCAUAUAGAUAGAUUUGUUGUGUUUGAGUACUUAUUGUAUCUAGUUUUGAGUGCAUAUAGCAUUUAGAUGAAUUUGUGACGCUCUAGUACAAAUGGUGCUUUAUAUGUAUAGAAUAUGAUUAAUUUUUUAUUUUAUUUUUCCUAAAUUUUGUACUUGAAUACAUU